GCACUGGGAGCACAGCCCUAGCAACAAGGACUACCUCCUAGCAACGAGCAUGACACCCAGUGCAUGAAACACCUGACAACGAGCAUGACACCCAGUGCAUGAAACACCUGGCAACGAGCAUGACACCCAGUGCAUGAAACCCCUGACAACGAGAAGCUGAAAGUGACUUGUCCCCUGCUGGCUGCCAUCAGGAGCAACAUGGCAGAAUCUGAGGAUGUCAGGCAGAAAUUCUGUGUAUUUUCAGGACCUGCUCAAUAAAGAAGUUGGCUCAUUUUUAAUCUAAAGGAAUCUGGGAAAGAACAAUGAAAUAAGCCAUUUUGCUAAAUCAAUACACCAGCAAUCAAAUCACUGAAUGUACUGGUCAGUUGCAUUAAAAAUCAAUGGGAAAAGAAGUACAAAAUCAUGGUGUUUAUUAAAAACUGACACAAAUCAUCAACUUUUAAAUUCCUGGUAACCGGUCGAUAAUUGUUAUAAAAAGUUGACUGAGUCUAGUAACACGCCCUUCUGGUUUGAUAGGUUCUGUCUCUUUGCUAUUUCAUUUAAUUUUGUAUUUUUACGAUCUGCGCUAGCCAAAAGCAAGGUCAGGGUCUGAUCCUGGAAGUGAAAUCUUUAACCACUGCAAUCAACAGCGAAAGUUCAGGUUUCAGCAUUCACUGCUUAUCAGAGCAGCUAUCCUGACAUGAAUAAAUUGAUAAAUUGCCCCUAAACUGCAGCCUUUAUCAGCAAGAGUAGCGGCAGCAACAGAUGUACAGUAAGAUAUCUGGAAAAUCGUCACCCAUUAAUUAAAAUGCAACAAAUCUAGAUCGUUACUACAUAAUUGCUCAUCUUAUUAAUCGUUCUCUCAUUAGACUUGAUAACAGUAGACAAAGAAACAUUGUAAAAUCCUUAAAAAU